rnacentral:lncRNA from 1 species
AUUUAUGUCUCAAUAUUUCUGGUUUGAAUCAUUUUACAGUAAUACAAGAUGAGGGCUCAGCUUUUGAUUUCUCGCUGCCAGCGGAGAGGACCAGGUGCACCUCCUGACUCCCAUGUCGUGGUUCUUCAGGGCUCCCAUGGCUUGGGACUCCGCGUCCUCCUGGGCAAAGGGGCCGUGUUCACGGCUAGCUGUGAACUGGAAGGCCAGACUGAGUUUCGAGGAGAGCAUAACCCUUUCUACCGCACAUCCUGGCUAACCCUGCCGCCUGGCUGCGACUGCAACAUACCUUUCGCUCCUGCUAAUGCAGCACUGCGGAGCUGCCUGCAGGAGAGGGGCCAAGGUCCUGCUCAGGAGCUCGUCCAGGCCUGA